rnacentral:misc_RNA from 1 species
GCAAACUUGGUCAUUUAGAGGAAGUAAAAGUCGUAACAAGGUUUCCGUAGGUGAACCUGCGGAAGGAUCAUUAACGAGUAAAUUUGAAAAGGGUUGUAGCUGGCCACAAACCAAACCAAAAACAAUAAAUAAACCAAGGCAUGUGCACACCCUGCUCAAUCCACUCUCAUACCCCUGUGCACUUAUUGUAGGCUCGGUGGCAUGGCGCUCACGCGUCAGUAAGCCUCGCCUAUGUUUAUAUCACAAACUCAGUCAAAGAAUGUAACCUCGCGUUUAACGCAAUAAAUACAACUUUCAGCAACGGAUCUCUUGGCUCUCGCAUCGAUGAAGAACGCAGC